rnacentral:rRNA from 1 species
AUUGAACGCUGGCGGCAUGCCUUACACAUGCAAGUCGAACGGUAACAGGUCUUCGGAUGCUGACGAGUGGCGAACGGGUGAGUAAUACAUCGGAACGUGCCCGAUCGUGGGGGAUAACGAAGCGAAAGCUUUGCUAAUACCGCAUACGAUCUACGGAUGAAAGCAGGGGACCGCAAGGCCUUGCGCGAACGGAGCGGCCGAUGGCAGAUUAGGUAGUUGGUGGGAUAAAAGCUUACCAAGCCGACGAUCUGUAGCUGCGCUGAGAGGACGACCAGCCACACUGGGACUGAGACACGGCCCAGACUCCUACGGGAGGCAGCAGUGGGGAAUUUUGGACAAUGGGCGAAAGCCUGAUCCAGCCAUGCCGCGUGCAGGAUGAAGGCCUUCGGGUUGUAAACUGCUUUUGUACGGAACGAAAAGACUCUGGUUAAUACCUGGGGUCCAUGACGGUACCGUAAGAAUAAGCACCGGCUAACUACGUGCCAGCCGCCGCGGUAA